rnacentral:rRNA from 1 species
AUUGAACGCUGGCGGCAGGCCUAACACAUGCAAGUCGAACGAGUGGCGGACGGGUGAGUAAUGUAUGGGAAACUGCCUGAUGGCGGGGGAUAACUACUGGAAACGGUAGCUAAUACCGCAUACCAUCAUCUGUACCCAUAUGGGAUUAGCUAGUUGGUCGGGUAACGGGUUACCUAGGCGACGAUCCCUAGCUGGUCUGAGAGGAUGAUCAGCCACACGGGAACUGAGACACGGUCCAGACUCCUACGGGAGGCAGCAGUGGGGAAUAUGGCACAAUGGGCGCAAGCCUGAUGCAGCCAUGCCGCGUGUAUGAAGAAGGCCUUCGGGUUGUAAAGUACUUUCAGUGGGGAGGCGUUACCCGCAGAAGAAGCACCGGCUAACUCCGUGCCAGCAGCCGCGGUAAUAC